UCCGGGUGACUUUCUAAAAGAUCGCUGUGGCUGUGCAGGCUUGAAUGGUUCUCUGUGUCCUGCUCUGAGAUCUGCUGUUGGGUGCAUUGAGGGGACCUCAGGAAGCUCUGAGAUUUAGACAUGGAUGCAGUGACUUUUGACGAUGUGCAUGUGAACUUCACUAAAGAAGAAUGGAAUUUGCUGGAUCCUUCCCAGAUGAAUCUCUACAAAGAUGUUAUGUUGGACACCUACUGGAACCUUACUUCUAUAGGCUACAAAUGUGAAGACCAUCAUAUUGAAGAACCAUGUCAAAGUUCUCGAGGACAUACAAGAUUCACACUGCUCUAGCAUCGCCCUACACUGGGGCAUCAAGCCUCCACAGGACCAAGGGCCUCCCCUCCCACUGAUGCCAGAUGAAGCCAUCCUUUGCUACAUAUAGAGCUGGAGCCAUGCAUCUCUCCAUGUAUACUCUCUGAUAG